AAAUAAAAGAAACUAACAACCUCAACGGAGCUCAGGAUCGCAUAUUUGAAAUUUGAAGUUUAUGGAAUCCAUUCGAAGUCAAAUUUUGGAUAUCCUCGAAGUUUAUCUCUAGCUGAUCCCAAGUCCCUAUAAAAUGGAGGAUUUUGCAUCAAAUGAGGAGGCGAGUAGAAGCAGAAAAUGCUAGAGAGCAGCAGCAGAAAAGGCUAGAGAGAAGAAAAAAAAAUACAUAAAGAAAGAGGCGAAGCCUUGCUACAGAAGGAGAAACGUUCAGAGAUUUUGAUCGUGCUUCAAGGGGCCAACAAGUGUCGAGGAGCCAACAAGCAGUUACAAAGGUCCCCAGAGCAGUUGCAAUCUCGUUUACGAUACAUGUGUAUCAACAAGUGUAUGACCAAUCUGGUGGAAUUUCUUUUUAAGCCUUGUUGAGUACCAACAAGUGCUUUGCAGCAGCAAAUUGAGUGUCAACAUACAAGGCUCCAAUGCCCAUUUGCUUCCACAACAGUUGUUUUGCAGACCAACAACGGUAACCACCAAAAGCCUUCUACCUCCUGCUUUCCUUUCCACCGCAACAAAACAAAUUAAUGGCCCUGCACCACUUGCAAAACAAGCCACACAAAGAACAGACCAAUACUUCUAGCAACCAGCAAGCAAGGAGGGAAGGAGAUCAGAAACUUGAAGACCAAGCUGACGAAGUUGAAGCUUUUCACUUCUCCUGACCCACCUUGUCAAUUGAAUCCCAGCGGUGAAAUGGCGUUCGCUGUCAAAGUCCUUCCUGCAGCAUAUACAAAGGCUCUGUCUAACAUGGGAUUAUAAAGAAUUGCUAAAAGAAGACGAUACAAUUGAUCAUAGACAAAUUGAUUAUUGUUCUCAGUCUAAAAAAGAGAGAAGAUGACGUUCAUGUCAAACACAAAGGCAAAAGCUAUAAUUCUUUGAAACCAUAAAUGUCAAAGUGUUGUAUGAUGCAACUUUUUCUUUUUGAAACCUAAAUGACAAAGAACGAGGCUAUCUCCAGGUGUUUUGAAGAAUCACAAAAUA